rnacentral:rRNA from 1 species
UACGUAGGGGGCUAGCGUUGUCCGGAUUUAUUGGGCGUAAAGAGCGUGUAGGCGGCCAGGUAGGUCUGCUGUGAAAACUCGAGGCUCAACCUCGAGACGUCGGCGGAAACCAUCUGGCUAGAGUCCGGGAGAGGUGAGUGGAAUUCCCAGUGUAGCGGUGAAAUGCGUAGAUAUUGGGAGGAACACCAGUGGCGAAGGCGGCUCACUGGACCGGAACUGACGCUGAGGCGCGAAAGCGUGGGGAGCAAACGGG